AUAAAAAGGAAAAAGUGAUCUAGAUGUAAGAAGAGGAGGUUGGACCAAGAGGGGUAAAAUGGGAAAGUUUGGUAGAGAAGUCUCUCUCACCAACAUUGGGUUUCAGUUCAGUUUUGAGGUAAAGAAAAGAAGAAGAAUAGUGUGAGAGUGAAGAACAAGGAAAAAUGAGCUAAGCUCUAAAAAGCUUUAUACUUUGUACUAAAAAAAAUACUAUAAUGAGACUAAGAAGAAGAAGAAGAAGAAUUUGAACAAGUUCCUUCAUUUCUAUUACUUAUUAGUGUUAGAGUUUCUUCUUCUUGUUCUUCAAAUCAAAUCACAUCUAACCCACCUAGACCCUUGUCUUUCUCUUUCUUUUUCUUUAUUGGUCUGUUACUACAUCGUUUUCUUCAUCCAAAUCUCAACUGCCCAGAAAAUAAAUUUAAGUUUGAAGCUUUUUCUUGUAUACCCUUCUGGGUCAUUUUUUGUUAAGUGAAUUAAUUGAUUAGUUAUGGAGUCAUCUGAGAAUUGUUCUGUUAAGGUUGCUGUUCAUGUUCGUCCUCUUAUUGGUGAUGAAAGAAUCCAAGGUUGUAAAGAAUGUGUUUCUGUCACACCAGGAAAACCUCAGGUACAAAUCGGAUCACAUUCCUUUACAUUUGACCAUGUUUAUGGAAGUGGUGGAACCGCAUCACCUGCAAUGUUUGAAGAAUGCAUUGCUCCACUUGUGGAUGGUUUAUUCCAAGGAUACAAUGCCACUGUUCUUGCUUAUGGUCAGACGGGAUCGGGGAAAACAUAUACAAUGGGGACGGGCUCUAAAGAUUGUAGCCAAACUGGCAUUGUUCCUCAAGCUAUGAAUGCACUUUUCAGCAAGAUCGAAACUUUAAAACAUCAAACAGAAUUCCAGCUCCAGGUUUCCUUCAUUGAGAUCUUAAAAGAAGAAGUAAGAGACUUAUUGGAUUCUGUAUCUCUGAACAAAAUGGACAAUGUUAAUGGACAUUCUGGGAAUGGGAAAGUUUCUGCUCCAGUUAGACAGCCUAUACAAAUUCGAGAAUCAUCAAACGGGGCCAUAACACUAGCAGGAACAACUGAAAUGUCUGUUAGAACAUUACAGGAAAUGGCUGCUUGCUUGGAGCAAGGAUCUUUAAGCAGAGCAACUGGAAGUACUAACAUGAACAACCAAUCAAGCCGAUCACACGCCAUUUUCACAAUCACCUUAGAACAGAUGCGGAAAGUUCAUUCAGUUUUUCCCGGGAACGAUUCUCCAGAUGAGGAUAUGAGUGAAGAAUAUUUUUGUGCAAAGCUCCAUUUGGUAGAUCUUGCUGGAUCCGAACGAGCAAAAAGAACCGGUUCUGAUGGUGUUCGUCUUAAAGAAGGUAUACAUAUCAACCGGGGCCUUCUAGCACUUGGAAAUGUCAUCAGUGCGUUGGGGGAUGAGAAAAAGCGGAAAGAGGGUGUUCAUGUUCCUUAUCGAGAUAGUAAACUCACUCGACUCUUGCAGGAUUCACUAGGUGGAAACAGCAAGACAGUUAUGAUAGCUUGUAUCAGCCCUGCUGACAUCAAUGCAGAGGAAACUCUUAAUACUCUUAAAUAUGCAAAUCGUGCUCGGAAUAUUCAGAACAAGCCUGUUGUUAAUAGAGGUCUCGAAUCCAAUGAAAUGCAAAAGAUGCGACAGCAGCUGGAAUACUUGCAGGCGGAGCUAUUUUCCCGUGGGGGCGCAGCUCCAUCUGAUGAAGUACAGGUUCUUAGGGAACGAAUUGCGUUCCUUGAAGCAAGCAAUUUGGACCUUUCUCGAGAACUUCAUGUAUAUCGCAGUAGACGUGCUGUUGUGGGGCAGUGUGAAGCAGAUCUUCCGGAUGACUAUGCUCCUCUUACAAAGAAUGAUGGACUUAAGAGAGGCUUUCAAAGUAUUGAUUCUUCUGAUUAUGAAAUGGGCGAAAUCAUAUCAGGUGAAAAUCCUAGAGAAGUUGAAGUUGCAACAAAAGAGCGAGAACAUGAAUAUAUGCAAAAUACAUUGGAUAAGGAGUUGAACGAGUUAAACAAACGCUUGGAACAAAAAGAGUCUGAAAUGAGGCUUUUUGGAGGGAUUGACACAGAAACACUCAAACAGCACUUCGGGAAGAAAAUCGUGGAACUCGAAGAAGAGAAGAGAAUUGUGCAGAAAGAGAGAGAUCACUUGUUGGCUGAAGUUGAGAGUCUUGCUGCCAAUUCCGAUGGACAAGCGCAUAAUAAAGCUCACGAUUCUCAUACACAAAAACUAAAAUCUCUAGAAGCCCAGAUUUUGGAUCUUAAGAAGAAGCAAGAAAGCCAAGUCCAACUUGUUAAGGAAAAACAGAAAAGUGACGAUGCAGCAAAGCGGCUGCAAUCCGAAAUACAAUCUAUUAAAUCUCAGAAGGUUCAAUUGCAGCAUAAGAUAAAGCAAGAGGCAGAACAAUUCCGACAAUGGAAAGCGUCUCGUGAAAAGGAAUUGCUGCAGCUAAAGAAGGAAGGACGGAGAAAUGAGUACGAGAGGCACAAGCUUGAAGCUUUGAACCAGCGUCAGAAAAUGGUUCUCCAAAGAAAGACAGAAGAGGCUGCAGUUGCUACUAAACGGCUAAAGGAAUUAUUGGAAUCCCGAAAGUCUACAGUGCGUGACAAUGCAGCAAAUUCGAAUGGACAUACAUCGGUUACCCAGAGCAAUGAAAAGUCCUUGCAGAGAUGGCUUGAUCAUGAAUUGGAGGUCAGUGUUAAAGUGCACGAAGUUCGUUUUGAAUACGAGAAGCAAACCCAAGUACGAGCUGCGUUGGCGAAAGAGUUGGCUUUACUAAAGCAAGUGGACCAGUUCUCUUUCGAAGGGAAUAGUCCCCCGAAAGGAAACAAUGGAUAUUCUAGGGUUUUGUCCAUGUCACCGGAUUCAAGAAAGGCGAGAAAAGAAUCUGUUGAGAACAUGCUGAGCAUGUCUUCAAAUGCACUCAUCGCAAUGGCAUCACAGCUUUCGAAGGCAGAGGAAAGAGAGCGUUCCAUGAUUGGUCGUGGACGGUGGAACCAGUUGCGUUCGAUGGGAGAUGCUAAGAACUUACUUCAGUACAUGUUUAACACAACCGCGGAAGCAAGGUGUCAACUAUGGGAGAAGAACUUAGAAAUUGAGGACAUGGAAGAUAAGCUGAAUGAGCUAGUAACCUUGUUGCAAAUAAGUGAAACUCAGCGAAAGGAGCUCGUACGGGAGGUAAGAGCAAAGGAGCAAGCUGCUGCUACUGCAUUGGUUAAAUCAGAUUCGGGAAAUUCUCGUUCUUCGUUGAAACACUUGGCAGAAGAUAUGGGUGGUCCCUUGUCUCCAAUUUCCCUUCCGGCACCAAAGCAGCUCAAAUUCACUCCCGGGGUAGUUAAUGGGACGGUUAAAGACUCGGUGGCUUUUGCAAACCAGACACGAAAGAUGGUGCCAAUGGGACAACUUUCGAUGAAGAAAUUAGCAACCGUUGCACAAGCUGGGAAACUCUGGAGGUGGAAGAGAAGUCAUCAUCAGUGGCUUCUGCAGUUCAAAUGGAAGUGGCAGAAGCCAUGGAGACUUUCCGAAUGGAUUAAGCAUAGCGAUGAGACGAUAAUCAAGUCAAAGCCUCGCCCUCAACUCCAACUAUAAUGCAACCACUUCACGAAAACAGAUCGUUUGUAUAUACUUUUUUAACAGCCAAUGUGAUCCAACAUGGGACUUGACAGACACAAGCAUUGAUUAAGGGUGUGCUGUAAACUGUAAGAGGAAUCUUGACAUGUUUGGUGCUCGAAUUGCGAAAGCAUGGAAAUGAAGAUGGCGAGUCCAUUUCAUCAAAGCGCCUUAUUGUGUAAUGUUUGAGAUUUCUUCUUAUGAUGAGACAGCAAAGGGUGAGUGAUUGGAACAUUGUGCAUGGAGUGAAAAUGAUGAGUAUUUAGGUGAUACAAUACAAGUUAUGUUGUUGGUGAUGCAAACAUAAGAUGCUAAUCCUCCUUCUUCUUCUUCUUCUUCUUCAAUAAUAAUCCUUCUUAUUUUAUUUUAAUUUGUACAUUUUCAUUAGUUUGAAUUAAUGGAUGAGUGAGAUAAUAAGUUUUAUAUUAUCUUGUUGAUUCUUCUCUUGUAGAAUUUUGGGUUUCACUCAUAAACAAAACAAGGCAAGCAAAUUGUAUUGUAUUGUAUUCUCUUAAGAACAAUAGCAUUUAAUGCUUUCAAUCU